CCCAGCCGUAGGCAGCUGCCUAGGUGGCCUCGUACCUAGGUAAGUGUUACACUGCUGGGAGAACAGCAGCCGGAAGCUGGCUGGCAUCUUGGGCCUGGUUCCUGCCAACUCUGUUGUUAACUAUACCAGGAUGCCCACAUA
ensembl:snoRNA SNORA74 Small nucleolar RNA SNORA74